CAGUCCUCUUAUGCAGCUUCACUAAGAAAUGUUGGCCUUCUUACACUUAACCAGCGAAGAGAGAAUCAGUGCUUGUCAUUUUAUAAGAACAUCCAUCAACACUCAGACGACAAGUUAAGAACGCUACUUCCCAUGCAGUGCUAUAUCUCACAAAUUCUGUCUAAGAAACAAACCCACUUAUCCUAUGUAGCCUACAAGUGCAAAACUGAACGAUAUAAGAACACUUUUAUCCCAAUGUGUGUUAGAAACUGGGACCGACAAUAGGCAUAACAUAACAUUUUAUAGUACAUAUCAUCAAUAUAGUGUAUAUUAUAGUAGUUUUAAAAUUUUCGCAAUUUUUAAAAAUUUCAAUAUUAUGAUAAUCUCUGUAAUAUCACGUUUUUAAUUUUUUAUGAAUUUACAAUGUGGUAGGCCUAAUUAUUAAAAAUCAAUCAAUCAAUCAAUAUUUAUCCUAGCGCCAUUGUCCAUAGCCAGAAAUGAGCGACAUAGUGAUUACGCAACACUAAGUGAUCACCCGUGCCUGAUUCCCAAUAUUUAUAGUAAAUUGUUUUACUAAUUCAACAAUACAAUACAAUUCCUGAGAUGCGAAGAUCGAAUUCGGUCAAACAAAUGCUAGCGAACAAACUGAGCCUAAAAUUGUGUUGUCUCGAUGUCGACAAACCUUGUCCCUGAGAAAUUCAAAAUCACCAGCGAGACCGUAGUGAAGUUAACAAAAAGCAUGAAAAAUUGCAAAAUACCCUGUGAAAAUCCAUCGCUGCGCGUUAUAGACAAUACAAAUUUCUACAUGCGAAGCUUGUUCCGGCAAGAUGAGGUUCUUACGGCUUUGAAUGAUAUAAAAACGAAGAAAUAUAUUGUUCCCUUCCCUUGUCCCUGCCUUGUUGUUUUGAAGGUAGUUAAGAGCAUCCAAGACUACCCUGGAGCAGAGUAUAUAUAUAUAUAUAUAUAUAUAUAUAUAUAUAUAUAUAUAUAUAUAUAUAUAUAUAUAUAUAUAUAUAUAUAUAUAUAUAUAUAUAUAAUUAAUUCUUGUUGUCCGUAAUUGAACGAAGAGUGCUCAAUACCAAUAUACGAUAGAGCUUAAAUAAUUCUUUAAUCUUAAAAUAUAUUUGUCGCUACACUGUGUUUCACGCUUCUUUCAAAGCGAUCUUCAGGCGAAUAAAGUUGAUUCAAUGACGUGCUCUAAACUAACGGUUUGCUGAGGCAUCUCGCGUGCGUUCAAAUUUGCGCGCGCUAAAACUAUUUCUGUGACAGCAUUUCGCGAAUAUUUCUGAGCGUUUAUUCAAUAUCC